GAUGAACGCUAGCGGCAGGCUUAAUACAUGCAAGUCGAGGGGUAGCAAGAUUGUAGCAAUACAAUUGUUGACGACCGGCAAACGGGUGCGGAACACGUACACAACCUUCCUACAAGUGGGGAAUAGCCCAGAGAAAUUUGGAUUAAUACCCCGUAACAUAGCGAUGUGGCAUCACAUUGCUAUUAUAGCUUCGGCGCUUGUUGAUGGGUGUGCGGCUGAUUAGAUAGUUGGCGGGGUAACGGCCCACCAAGUCUACGAUCAGUAGCUGAUGUGAGAGCAUGAUCAGCCACACGGGCACUGAAACACGGGCCUGACUCCUACGGGAGGCAGCAGUAAGGAAUACUGGACAAUGGACGCAAGUCUGAUCCAGCCAUGCCGCGUGAAGGAUUAAGGUCCUCUGGAUUGUAAACUUCUUUUAUAAGGGACGAAAAAAGGUCUUUCUAGAUCGUCUGACGGUACCUUAUGAAUAAGCACCGGCUAACUCCGUGCCAGCCGCCGCCGUAAGAC
rnacentral:rRNA from 1 species